rnacentral:rRNA from 1 species
UAGGGAAUAUUGGACAAUGGGCGAAAGCCUGAUCCAGCAACUCCGCGUGAAUGAUGAAGGCCUUCGGGUUGUAAAGUUCUUUUAGAGGGGAAGAUAAUGACGGUACCCUCAGAAUAAGCACCGGCUAACUUCGUGCCAGCAGCCGCGGUAAUACGAAGGGUGCUAGCGUUACUCGGAUUCAUUGGGCGUAAAGAGUGCGUAGGCGGUCAAGUAAGUUAGAAGUGAAAUCCUUGGGCUCAACUCAAGAACUGCUUUUAAAACUGCUUAACUAGAGGAAUAGGGGAGUCAAUGGAAUUGUUGGUGUAGAGGUGAAAUUCGUAGAUAUCAGCAGGAACACCGGUGGCGAAAGUGAUUGGCUACUUAUUACCUGACGCUGUUGCACGAAAGCAUGGGGAGCAAACAGG